AGAAAAUUAGUUAAAUAUAACAUUAAUAUGUCAAAUUAAAAUUAUUGAAAACCAGUAUUUUCUA
rnacentral:tRNA from 1 species